rnacentral:lncRNA from 1 species
ACGUCGAUCAGUGGUGCGUGAUCCAAAUGUAAGCAGAAAGCGUGACGGCGGCGCUCGUUAAUCGUCGUGUUUUUCUGCGAUCUUAACUCUUGCAUCGCUUUUUCACUCCAUACCAUUGGGCCAACAAACUUCUUGUCUUCAGUCAUGCAAGACAAUGUUUUCAUAUUUGUCAUCAGUGUAUGCAAGAAAGCCCAAUCACAGCAUCACAGCAGACCAAUGUCAGGCAUGGAUUCACCAUACCAGAAGGAUCUUAACAAGAUGCUUGGCUGAUGAAAACAUCCAAUAUGAUGUGGCUGAGAAUCUGCGGCCAAAUCUACAAGACCUAUGUGACUACCUCUGGAAGCUCAUCAAGAGAAUGCCAAGAGUGUGCAAAGCAAUAAUCAAAGCUAAAGGUGGCUUCUAGAAUAUGACAUAUUUUCAGUUGUUGCACACUUUUUUUUUUUGGUUAUGUACAUAAUUCCACAUGUGUUAAUUCAUAGUUUUGAUGCCUUCAGUGUGAACCUACAAUUUUCAUAGUCAUGAAGAUAAAGAAAACUCUUUGAAUGAGAAGGUGUGUCCAAACCUGAUGUGAUCUAAUAUUCAGAAAAUAUUAAUAAUAAUAAUCAUUCAUUC